rnacentral:rRNA from 2 species
AGAGCUUGCUCUUAUGAAGUUAGCGGCGGACGGGUGAGUAACACGUGGGUAACCUGCCUACAAGACUGGGAUAACUCCGGGAAACCGGGGCUAAUACCGGAUAACAUUUUGCACUGCAUGGUGCGAAAUUGAAAGGCGGCUUCGGCUGUCACUUGUAGAUGGACCUGCGUCGCAUUAGCUAGUUGGUGAGGUAACGGCUCACCAAGGCAACGAUGCGUAGCCGACCUGAGAGGGUGAUCGGCCACACUGGGACUGAGACACGGCCCAGACUCCUACGGGAGGCAGCAGUAGGGAAUCUUCCGCAAUGGACGAAAGUCUGACGGAGCAACGCCGCGUGAGUGAUGAAGGCUUUCGGGUCGUAAAACUCUGUUGUUAGGGAAGAACAAGUGCUAGUUGAAUAAGCUGGCACCUUGACGGUACCUAACCAGAAAGCCACGGCUAACUACGUGCCAGCAGCCGCGGUAAUACGUAGGUGGCAAGCGUUAUCCGGAAUUAUUGGGCGUAAAGCGCGCGCAGGUGGUUUCUUAAGUCUGAUGUGAAAGCCCACGGCUCAACCGUGGAGGGUCAUUGGAAACUGGGAGACUUGAGUGCAGAAGAGGAAAGUGGAAUUCCAUGUGUAGCGGUGAAAUGCGUAGAGAUAUGGAGGAACACCAGUGGCGAAGGCGACUUUCUGGUCUGUAACUGACACUGAGGCGCGAAAGCGUGGGGAGCAGACAGGAUUAGAUACCCUGGUAGUCCACGCCGUAAACGAUGAGUGCUAAGUGUUAGAGGGUUUCCGCCCUUUAGUGCUGAAGUUAACGCAUUAAGCACUCCGCCU